rnacentral:lncRNA from 1 species
AUGACCUUAGAAUGUGUGCCAUCUGCUAUUCGGACAGUGCAGUUAAAUGGAUAAGGAGAAUAACUAGUAAACAAAUUAAAAUUUCCAGUCAUGUGAUCUGAAGCCCCUGAGUCAACAAUCCAUGACUUUGUUUUUCCCAUGCUAGUAUUUAGAGCAUGUGAGACAUUCCCUCUCUGAGCCACUACAGCCGUACCACCUUUUUCUGUAGAAGGCAUGGUUUGUUUGAAGAUUUUUUGUAAAGCCUCCAUUUGUUCCUUGUUAAAUGGAAAUGAAGUAGAUUUUACCUCAGCUUCUUGGUGGUUAAAAAUUGUGUUGCCUCUGUUGUCCCUGCUUUUGAAUUGCUUGGCUUUUGGGGGUUUUCCAUGUAUAACCCAACAUGUUUCUUGUGUAUGGCCUAGUUUCUUGCAG